CCUACGGGUGGCAGCAGUGGGGAAUAUUGCGCAAUGGGCGAAAGCCUGACGCAGCGACGCCGCGUGAGGGAUGAAGGUCAUCGGAUCGUAAACCUCUGUCAGCAGGGAAGAACGGUCACUGGGCUAAGCAGCAGUGAAUGGACGGUACCGGCAAAGGAAGCACCGGCUAACUCCGUGCCAGCAGCCGCGGUAAUACGGAGGGUGCGAGCGUUAAGCGGAAUUACGGGGCGUAAAGCGCUCGUAGGCGGUAUGUCAAGUCAAGGGUGAAAUCCCCGCGCUCAACGUGGGAACUGCCUUUGAAACUUGCAAACUGGAGUGUGUGAUAGGCUAGUGGCAUUCCAGUUGU
rnacentral:rRNA from 1 species